AAGGUGGAGGGAACACCCACAGCACCCAGGAGGAUCUGCCCCGUGCCAGGGACUGGCUCAGCACCUGCACCUCAGGUACCUUUCUUAUUUCACUGACAGAAACACAGCAAACAGGAAG
rnacentral:lncRNA from 1 species